AAGACUGUACUUUCAGGGAUCAUUUCUAUAGUUUAUGGUUAGAGAAGUUUCUCUAAGAGUGCGGUAGAUAUCUGGGGAAUAUUAAUUAAUCC
ensembl:snoRNA U3 Small nucleolar RNA U3